rnacentral:rRNA from 1 species
GGGGAUGCAAGCGUUAUCCGGAUUUAUUGGGUUUAAAGGGUGCGUAGGCGGCGUCUUAAGUCAGCGGUGAAAUUUAGGGGCUCAACCUCUACCGUGCCGUUGAUACUGGGAUGCUAGAAUGCGGAUGCCGUGGGAGGAAUGUGUGGUGUAGCGGUGAAAUGCAUAGAUAUCACACAGAACACCGAUUGCGAAGGCAUCUCACGAAUCCGCAAUUGACGCUGAGGCACGAAAGCGUGGGGAUCAAACAGGAUUAGAUACCCUGGUAGUCCACGCUGUAAACGAUGAUGACUAACCGUCGGCGAUACACAGUCGGUGGCCAAGCGAAAGCGAUAAGUCAUCCACCUGGGGAGUACGACCGCAAGGUUGAAACUCAAAGGAAUUGACGGGGGCCCGCACAAGCGGAGGAACAUGUGGUUUAAUUCGAUGAUACGCGAGGAACCUUACCCGGGCUCGAACGGCAGGGGAAUCACUCAGAGAUGGGUGAGUCUUCGGACUCCUGUCGAGGUGCUGCAUGGUUGUCGUCAGCUCGUGCUGUGAAGUGUCGGCUUAAGUGCCAUAACGAGCGCAACCCUUGCCAUUAGUUGCCAUCAGGUAAUGCUGGGGACUCUAGUGGGACUGCCACCGCAAGGUGUGAAGGAGGGGGGGGAUGACGUCAAAUCAGCACGGCCCUUACGUCCGGGGCUACACACGUGUUACAAUGGGGGGGUACAGAGGGCUGCCACUUGGUGACAAGGAGCUAAUCCCGAAAACCUCUCUCAGUUCGGACUGGAGUCUGCAACCCGACUCCACGGAGCUGGAUUCGCUAGUAAUCGCGCAUCAGCCAAUGGCGCGGAUGAAUACGUUCCCGGGCUGUACUACACACCCGCCCGUCAGCCCAU